rnacentral:rRNA from 1 species
GGACGGGUGAGUAACGCGUGGGCAACCUGCCCUGUACCGGGGGACAACAGCCAGAAAUGGCUGCUAAUACCGCAUAAGCCUGCUGUGCCGCGUGGCACAGCAGGGAAAACCACGGUGGUACAGGAUGGGCCCGCGUCUGAUUAGUUAGUUGGCAGGGUAACGGCCUACCAAGACAACGAUCAGUAGCCGGCUUGAGAGAGUGGACGGCCACAUUGGGACUGAGACACGGCCCAGACUCCUGCGGGAGGCAGCAGUGGGGAAUAUUGCACAAUGGGGGGAACCCUGAUGCAGCAAUGCCGCGUGGGUGAAGAAGCACUCCGGUGCGUAAAGCCCUGUCAGCAGGGAAGAAAAUGACAGUACCUGGACAAGAAGCCCCGGCUAACUACGUGCCAGCAGCCGCGGUAAUACGUAGGGGGCAAGCGUUAUCCGGAUUUACUGGGUGUAAAGGGAGCGCAGGCGGCGUGGCAAGUCAGAUGUGAAAACCCGGGGCCCAACCCCGGGAGUGCAUUUGAAACUGCCAUGCUGGAGUGCCGGAGAGGUAAGCGGAAUUCCUAGUGUAGCGGUGAAAUGCGUAGAUAUUAGGAGGAACACCAGUGGCGGAGGCGGCUUACUGGACGGUA